rnacentral:rRNA from 1 species
CUCAGAUUGAACGCUGGCGGCAUGCCUUACACAUGCAAGUCGAACGGCAGCACGGGAGCAAUCCUGGUGCGAGUGGCGAACGGGUGAGUAAUGUAUCGGAACGUGCCUUGUCGUGGGGGAUAACGUAGCGAAAGCUACGCUAAUACCGCAUACCAUCUAAGGAUGAAAGCGGGGGAUCGCAAGACCUCGCGCGACAAGAGUGGCCGAUAUCAGAUUAGGUUGUUGGUGGGGUAAAGGCCUACCAAGCCGACGAUCUGUAGCUGGUCUGAGAGGACGACCAGCCACACUGGGACUGAGACACGGCCCAGACUCCUACGGGAGGCAGCAGUGGGGAAUUUUGGACAAUGGGCGAAAGCCUGAUCCAGCAAUGCCGCGUGCAGGAUGAAGGCCUUCGGGUUGUAAACUGCUUUUGUACAGAACGAAACAGUCUCUCCUAAUACGGGGGGCGAAUGACGGUACUGUAAGAAUAAGCACCGGCUAACUACGUG